UACGAAGGGGGCUAGCGUUGUUCGGAUUUACUGGGCGUAAAGCGCACGUAGGCGGAUGGUUAAGUCAGGGGUGAAAUCCCGCAGCUCAACUGCGGAACUGCCUUUGAUACUGGCCAUCUCGAGUCCGGAAGAGGUGAGUGGAACUCCUAGUGUAGAGGUGGAAUUCGUAGAUAUUAGGAAGAACACCAAUGGCGAAGGCGGCUCACUGGUCCGGAACUGACGCUGAGGUGCGAAAGCGUGGGGAGCAAACAGG
rnacentral:rRNA from 1 species